rnacentral:rRNA from 1 species
CCUACGGGAUGCUGCAGUGAGGAAUAUUGGUCAAUGGACGAGAGUCUGAACCAGCCAAGUAGCGUGAAGGAUGACUGCCCUAUGGGUUGUAAACUUCUUUUAUAUGGGACUAAAAUGUUCCACGUGUGGGAUUUUGUAUGUACCAUAUGAAUAAGGAUCGGCUAACUCCGUGCCAGCAGCCGCGGUAAUACGGAGGAUCCGAGCGUUAUCCGGAUUUAUUGGGUUUAAAGGGAGCGUAGGUGGAUUGUUAAGUCAGUUGUGAAAGUUUGCGGCUCAACCGUAAAAUUGCAGUUGAAACUGGCAGUCUUGAGUACAGUAGAGGUGGGCGGAAUUCGUGGUGUAGCGGUGAAAUGCUUAGAUAUCACGAAGAACUCCGAUUGCGAAGGCAGUUCACUGGACUGCAACUGACACUGAGGCUCGAAAGUGUGGGUAUCAAACAGGAUUAGAUACCCCAGUAGUC